AAAUAAAAACCCUCUUAAAGCCUGGGAGAGUCGGGAGAUGGGCUCAAGGCUCAGUCCUGACACAGAGCCCAAGAAUAGCUGGAGUCCUGUGAGGAGGAAGGAGGAGUACUCCCUGUGAAUAUGGCGUUUGUGUCUCCACGGGGCAUCUUCCUACCUUUAGCGUGCAUGCAGUGUACCUAGGGGUGGGAGUCCUGGUCUCUCUCACCCUGCUAUAUCUUGAUUCAGUGACCAAGACAAACCUGUCUGUGCAUGAGGACAAAAACCGGGUGCCGUUUGUCAAGGGUUGUACCGAACGCUUUGUGUCCAGCCCAGAGGAGAUUCUGGAUGUGAUUGAUGAGGGGAAGUCGAACCGUCACGUUGCCGUCACCAACAUGAAUGAGCACAGCUC
rnacentral:lncRNA from 1 species